UUUGUGCUUGCAUGGGUUAUACCCAAAUUGGGGCAAUGCAGAGAAGAUUAGCAUGGUCCCUGCCCAAGGAUGGCGCUCCCGUUUGUGAUGCAUCUCAUAUUUUG